rnacentral:piRNA from 1 species
UGUCCACCGUUAUAAGAAGGCAGCUGC